CAAUUCAUUCCUUCCAUUCACAACUUUUGUCACGAAAGUUCAGGCGAGUGUUGAGAAAUGUCGUCUCACUAAAAAGAAAUAAGUUUUGAGCGAAAAAAUUUAGAAUUCUGUGUUAAAAACUCGUUAAAACGGAGAUAGAAGACAAGUGUACCUCAUGAAUAUUCUUGAGCGAUUUCCUUAUCUGCCGAAAUGUUGUCUGUGUAUAAAUUUAAGAACGGGAUGCAUUUUAGUGGGAUUCGUAUCAAUUAUUUUUCAUUUGACAUUCGUUAUAAUCCGGGACAUUACGGUGCUGAUGUCGGCUAGGAAUGCCAGCAAACAACGAGCUGACGAUACCUCAUACACCCUGUUGUUAAUACUGCUGGUACAAACAGUUUGUAUGCGAUUGCCGGGUGUGUUAUGUUCCUGUUGUACAGUCGCUGGAGCUCUAAUGGAAAGCAUUUUUGUGAUCAAAAUUUCGGUUUGGACGAACUUUUAUGUGCUCAUAUCGAUCGGAGUCGGAGUCGUGUUGUGUGUCGUGCAGCUUUUUGUGCAACCCAUGGCCGUAUUUGUUCUCGUAAUCCUGUUUGAUCUGUUGCUAUUUGUCUUCCUGCAAUAUUUUUUCCUUAUCAUCAACUCCUUCUAUCACUAUCUCAUGCAAGUGAAGCAGAUAGAGGAGCAAGAAUCCUGUUAUGUUACGUACAAUUAUCCGCCCGGUGAAUAAUUUUAUUGAUUUUUUUACGCUCAAACUUUUUUGUGAGUCAGACUUUCUUAUACAUAUUAUUACGAUAUUACAAAUAUACAUCAUAAAUUGUAUCAUUAUAUACAUCACUUAGUUACUUAUGGUCAAUUUAAAAUUGAAUGGAUGCCAAUUAAAAACAUUUACCUCAAAAACAUGACUAAAACAUGGCCUAGCCCUCGUGCAGUGCAUAACGUGAAAUCUCAAGUGUAUAUAAAAUUUAUUAGAUUAGUCUCUUUUGUAAUCCAAAAAAUAUAUAUAUUAUUACAAUAA